rnacentral:lncRNA from 1 species
GAUGGCUGGUCUCAGAAGACCCUCUGAAAACCCAAAGAAGCUUUGGCUACCAGGGGAUUCAUUUCUCAUCUUAAAAUUAUUCUUUAGAGACAAGAUUUAAACCUUCACUUUCUAGGCCUUAGAGUUCCCUUCUCAGAAUAACAGGUGGAUUACACCGAUGGCUGCAUUCUCCCCACAGCGGCCACAGGAUCUUUAAAAAUGUAAAUCAUGUCCCAUAACCUGCCUUCCCAUUGCACUUCAGAUAUCCAGGUUCCUCAUCCAGGCCUUCGAGGGCCUUUGGGAUCCUGCCGUGCUCCCUUUGCAUGCCUGGCUUGAACUCCAGCCCCGCUCUCUGGUCUGGCCUCAUACAUGCCCAACUUUCAGCCUCCAGGGACUUUGUGCAUCAGAACUCCAUGGGAGCAGGUACUUCAGUCAUCUGGGACUUGCAGGAGGCCCUGCUCUAAGCUGGUAUUGCUGGCUCAAUAGUUAUUGAAUGAAUGACUGAAUCAUCGGAGGCUCGCCAAUUUUACCCGGUGCCUUCACUACCAUAGGGUUAAGAGGGGAGGUGGUCAUCACUGGGAAUCAUUUACUGAGCACCUGCCACGUACUGGAAAACAUUCACCAGGAACUUUUCUG